UGACUGGCGGAAUGUAGCUUCGAUUUCGGUUGAAGUGUUAUAGCCUCUGGUAGAUGUGGUGAUUGGGACUGAGGAUUGCAACGAAUAUCCUUUGGGCUAUCCGUCUGGCCUCUGAAAGUUGCUUGGGUGCUGAAAGCUUGCUUAUGGUUAUCUAAGUUAACGGUCAAUAGGUUAGAACGUGAUUACAUUCGUUAAGGAUGUUGACGUAAAA
rnacentral:rRNA from 1 species